rnacentral:rRNA from 1 species
ACGGGAGGCAGCAGUGGGGAAUAUUGGGCAAUGGGCGAAAGCCUGACCCAGCGACGCCGCGUGAGGGAAGACGGCCUUCGGGUUGUAAACCUCUGUUGUAUGGGAAGAAGGAAGUGACGGUACCAUACGAGGAAGCUCCGGCUAACUACGUGCCAGCAGCCGCGGUAAUACGUAGGGAGCGAGCGUUGUCCGGAAUUACUGGGCGUAAAGGGCACGCAGGCGGUCAUAAAAGUCAGCUGUUAAAUGUAUGGGCUUAACCGAUGCAUGCGGUUGAAACUAUAUGACUGGAGUACUGGAGAGGUAAGCGGAAUUCCCGGUGUAGCGGUGAAAUGCGUAGAUAUCGGGAAGAACACCAGUGGCGAAGGCGGCUUACUGGCCAGUUACUGACGCUGAGGUGCGAAAGCCAGGGGAGCGAACCGGAUUAGAUACCCGGGUAGUCCUGGCCGUAAACGA